CGGAUUNAAGGCUGAAAUUCGCCUUCAUGAAGCUGGAAUUGCUAGUAAUGGCAGGUCAGCAUACUGCCGUGAAUACGUUCCCGGGCCUUGUACACACCGCCCGUCACACUAUGAGAGUUGGAAAUACCCGAAGCCUGUGAGCUAACUUUUAGAGGCAGCAGUCGAAGGUAGAGCCAAUGAUUGGGGUGAAGUCGUAACAAGGUAGC
rnacentral:rRNA from 1 species